rnacentral:rRNA from 1 species
CCUACGGGUGGCAGCAGUGAGGAAUAUUGGUCAAUGGCCGGAAGUCUGAACCAGCCAAGUCGCGUGAAGGAUGACUGCCCUAUGGGUUGUAACCUUCUUUUAUGAAGGAAUAAAACGAGGCACGUGUGCCUUUUUGCAUGUACUUUAUGAAUAAGGAUCGGCUAACUCCGUGCAAGCAGCCGCGGUAAUACGGAGGAUCAGAGCGUUAUCCGGCUUUAGUGGGUUUAAGGGGAGCGUAGAUGGGUUGUUAAGUCAGUGGGGAAAGUUUGCGGCGCAACCGGUAAAUUGCAAUUGAUACUGGCAGGCUGGAGUACAGUUGAGGUAGGCGGAAUGCGUGGUGUAGCGGUGAAAUGCUUAGAUAUCACGAAGAACCCCGAUUGCGAAGGCAGCUUACUAAACUGUGACUGACAUUGAUGCUCGAAAGUGUGGGUAUCAAACAGGAUUAGAUACCCGUGUAGUC